rnacentral:rRNA from 1 species
UACGAAGGGGGCUAGCGUUGCUCGGAAUCACUGGGCGUAAAGCGCACGUAGGCGGACUCUUAAGUCGGUGGUGAAAUCCUGGAGCUCAACUCCAGAACUGCCUUCGAUACUGAGAGUCUCGAGUCCGGGAGAGGUGAGUGGAACUGCGAGUGUAGAGGUGAAAUUCGUAGAUAUUCGCAAGAACACCAGUGGCGAAGGCGGCUCACUGGCCCGAUACUGACGCUGAUGCACGAAAGCGUGGGGAGCGAACAGG